rnacentral:rRNA from 1 species
GAGUACUUCGGUACUUAGUGGCGGACGGGUGAGUAACGCGUGAGAAUCUGGCUUCAGGAUGGGGACAACAGUUGGAAACGACUGCUAACACCCAAUGUGCCGAGAGGUGAAAGUAUUAAUAGCCUGAAGAUGAGCUCGCGUCCGAUUAGCUAGUUGGAGUGGUAACGGCACACCAAGGCGACGAUCGGUAGCUGGUCUGAGAGGAUGAUCAGCCACACUGGGACUGAGACACGGCCCAGACUCCUACGGGAGGCAGCAGUGGGGAAUUUUCCGCAAUGGGCGCAAGCCUGACGGAGCAAUACCGCGUGAGGGAGGAAGGCUUUUGGGUCGUAAACCUCUUUUCUCUGGGAAGAAGAUCUGACGGUACCAGAGGAAUCAGCAUCGGCUAACUCCGUGCCAGCAGCCGCGGUAAUACGGAGGAUGCAAGCGUUAUCCGGAAUUAUUGGGCGUAAAGCGUCCGCAGGUGGCUCAUCAAGUCUGCUGUCAAAGCGUGCGGCUUAACCGCAUACAGGCAGUGGAAACUGGUGGACUAGAGUUCGGUAGGGGUGACGGGAAUCCCAGUGUAGCGGUGAAAUGCGUAGAUAUUGGGAAGAACACCAGCGGCGAAAGCGCGUCACUGGGCCUGAACUGACACUGAGGGACGAAAGCUAGGGGAGCGAAAGGGAUUAGAUACCCCUGUAGUCCUAGCCGUAAACGAUGACAACUAGGUGUUGCCCGUAUCGACCCGGGCAGUGCCGUAGCCAACGCGUUAAGUUGUCCGCCUGGGGAGUACGCACGCAAGUGUGAAACUCAAAGGAAUUGACGGGGGCCCGCACAAGCGGUGGAGUAUGUGGUUUAAUUCGAUGCAACGCGAAGAACCUUACCAGGGCUUGACAUGUCCAGAAUCUCGGUGAAAGCUGAGAGUGCCUUCGGGAGCUGGAGCACAGGUGGUGCAUGGCUGUCGUCAGCUCGUGUCGUGAGAUGUUGGGUUAAGUCCCGCAACGAGCGCAACCCACGUUUUUAGUUGCCAGCGGGUAAUGCCGGGCACUCUGAAGAGACUGCCGGUGACAAACCGGAGGAAGGUGUGGAUGACGUCAAGUCAGCAUGCCCCUUACGCCCCGGGCUACACACGUACUACAAUGCUACGGACAAAGAGUUGCCAACUCGCGAGAGAGAGCUAAUCUCAUAAACCGUGGCACAGUUCAGAUUGCAGGCUGCAACUCGCCUGCAUGAAGGCGGAAUCGCUAGUAAUCGCAGGUCAGCAUACUGCGGUGAAUACGUUCCCGGGCCUUGUACACACCGCCCGUCACACCAUGGGAGUUGGCCACGCCCGAAGUCGUUACUCCAACCUU